GCCAAGCACAUGGGAUUCCCCACCGACGACGAAUCCACUGCCUCCUCCACAGCAACGGCUGACCGCUUUCUUCGCAGCGGCGCAGGAUGACCGGAGGGCUGGCUCGGAGGAGAGCGAUGGCGCGGGGAGACGAAGGGGCCGACGGGAUCGGCAUGCGAGGCGAGGGGGGCCGAAGCGGGGAAGCCGAUUUUUUCCGCAGGCAAUAACGACGCGUAGGUCGUACGCAACCGGCCAAAGGCUGCCGCAUAACGCUCCGUGGUAUAAUUUUUUUUUUGGCAAUAAGAUGUACAUGUGGCUCGAUA
rnacentral:lncRNA from 1 species